GACGAACGCUGGCGGCGUGCCUAACACAUGCAAGUCGAACGGAGAUUUCAGUAAUGAAAUCUUAGUGGCGAACGGGUGAGUAACGCGUAGACAACCUACCUUCGAGAUGGGGACAACACCGCGAAAGUGGUGCUAAUACCGAAUGUUGUAUUUGUAGUGCAUACUAUGAAUACUAAAGAUGGCCUCUAUUUAUAAGCUAUCGCUAGAAGAUGGGUCUGCGUCUGAUUAGCUAGUUGGUGAGGUAAUGGCUCACCAAGGCGACGAUCAGUAGACGGUCUUAGAGGAUGAACGGCCACACGGGGACUGAGACACGGCCCAGACUCCUACGGGAGGCAGCAGUGGGGAAUUUUGGACAAUGGGCGAAAGCCUGAUUCGGCAAUGCCGCGUGCAGGAUGAAGGCCUUCGGGUUGUAAACUGCUUUUGUACGGAACGAAAAAGCUCCUUCUAAUACAGGGGGCCCAUGACGGUACCGUAAGAAUAAGCACCGGCUAACUACGUGCCAGCAGCCGCGGUAA
rnacentral:rRNA from 1 species